CCCAGGGCCGCAGUCGCUUCGGCUAGCCUGCGAGUCUCAGAGGAAAAAGGGGUUCCAGAAGUGCGUCCCCCGGGCCGCUCACCCGGCACUGCAAUUGUGGGGGGAAGAGAAUAGAGGAGUGAAGAAGGGUGCAUUUUCCAUCUCACCUCGGUCCUCGGCUAGGAAAACCACGUAGCCCUGACCAGUGGGCUCAAGGCCCUGCUGGAAACUGGUUCUGAGUGUAUAUGUCUCAGCUUGAGAUGAGAAAAUGAGAACAAGUAACAAGCAUAUUUUUUCAACUGUAAAAUUGGUUUUCAAAUCUGCUAAUUGGUGAAAAGAGAUCAACUUCUCUCUCAAGUUACAGAAGCAGAAAUUCAACUGGUCCUUAUUAAUGAAAGAUCUUCAGUGAAGGUUGAAAGCCCUUCAGAUCAAUCAUACCACACUUUGAGCUCCUCUGGCCUCCGUGGUUCCCUCAUCUGUGCUCACGGCUCACAGAUAGCUCACUGGAAAUAAAUAUGGAAAUUUCCUAAGAGGCUGAAUACUGAUGAGGUUGUAACUGAAUUUAGAAUUCUCUUCUGGACACAAUUCCUUGGGUGAUAUAGGAUCCUAAAUUUAUUUGUUUUACCUUUGUAUUUUGGAAAAGUUAAAACUUAUAAAAGUUGAUAAAUUAGUAUCCUGUGUGCCCAUCACCUAGCUGCAAGAAUUAUUAACUUACAGGGCAGAAUAACGGCCCCUGCAAGAUGUCCAUGUCCUAAAGCCUGGAACUUGUUGAUAUGUUAGGUUAUGUGAUAAGCAAGAAUUAUGGUUACACAUGGAAUUAAGGUUGCUCAUCAGUUGACGCUGAGAUGGGGGAGAUUAUCCUGAUUCUCCAGGUGGGAACAAUCUAAUCACAUGCAUCUUUGUAAGUGCAAGAAGGAGGCACUGGAGAGAGACCCAGAUAGAUGGCCAUGUGAGAAGGUAUUGGCUGAUGCUGUUGAAGAGAGAUGGAGGAAUGGGGCCUUGAGCCAAGGAAUGUGGCUAGCCUAUAAAAGCUGAAAAACGCAAGGAAACAGAUUCUCCCCUAGAGCAGCCUGAAGGAUUGGAGGCCUGUCGACACCUUGAUUUUAGCCUAGUGAGACCUAAUUCAGAUUUCUUACCUACAGAACCGUAAGAUAAUAAAUUUGUGUUGUUUUAGGCCACUGAGUUUGAGGUAAUUUUUUAUAGCAGCUAUAGAAAACAGAUUUCUUAAAAAAAGGGAGAGAGAGAGAAAGGCUGUCAAAAUGUGAAGGGAAUAAAAUAAUCCUUAAGGUUAAUGCUAAAAAUUUCUUUGAAUGUAUUUUACAAACCUAGCAAAGAAAGACUGCUUUUAUUUGUUGGCUUUGACUACAAAAGGAAUGGAUGUAAAUCUGAAUAUCUAUAAAAAAGAUUUGAAUAUAUAUACCAAAGUUUAAAUAGAUAUUUAAAUUGCUAAUAUGAUUAGUUUUAUUAAUCAUUUGAAUGAUUUAAGCCCUUUACUCUCAUCUUUUGGUGCCAUUUUUGUUAAACU